UGUAGCUCAGUGGUAGAGUGCCUGUCUUGCAAGUGUGAGGCCCUGGGUUUGAUCCCCAGUA
rnacentral:tRNA from 1 species